UCGCGGAUUACCACUCAUUUAUAAAAUUAUUUUUUUAUUAGUCUAUGUUUAAUACUUCAAAUUAGUGUCCGAACAUCCGAUAUAACAUAGAGCUAAAAAGUUUAGCCUCAUCUGAGCAACGUCUGACAGUGUAUGUGUACGCGGAUAACUGAGCAAACAAUUGAUUGGCCCCGUCCAGAGAAACACGCAAGCAACGGAUCAAUUGAUUCAGUUUUUACAAUUAAGACAGUGUUUAAUGUCAUUUGUUUGAGAACUAGAGCGGCGUGUCAGUGUCCAUGUUAUUGUGUAUCUGCUUCUGCUGCACCUUCGCUUCGACAUAAAUCAACCAUCUUUUUCUUAUCAUGUACUUAUAAGUUAAAAUUUAGAUUUAAGAAUUUAACUAAAGGUUUGAUUUUUUAGGUUUUUUAAACUUUUAAUCUCAAAAUUACUAAAAUAUAUAUAUAUAUAUUUUAAUUAUAAAUUAUUUUUAUGAACCCAGUGGGUGCACGGACAGAAGCGGAACCAGCGUGCAAUGGCUUAGGCUUAAAGCUCCACACCUAGCAAAAAUUUGUAUUAAAAAUAUAUUAAAUUUUAGCUAAGAUUUAUCUAAACAAUUUAUACUCUAUCACGAGCGCACUCCUAGUUCCGCCCCUAUUCACGGAUGUUGUUGGAAGAGGCCGAAGCUAAGGUCAGAGACCGAAAAGAAAUCUGGAAGGAUGC
rnacentral:lncRNA from 1 species